CAUCCUCCAAGGCUAAAUACUCCUGACUGACCGAUAGUGAACCAGUACCGUGAGGGAAAGGCGAAAAGAACCCCGGCGAGGGGAGUGAAAAAGAACCUGAAACCGUGUACGUACAAGCAGUGGGAGCCCCACCACUAAGCCAGUGGUGAACUCCACAUACGCAUCCUUUGCUGAGGAUACGGUUAACGGAGCGAAAGCGACGUUCAACCGCAAAAGAAGCAGAGGGGGCUUAGUGGUGGGGUGACUGCGUACCUUUUGUAUAAUGGGUCAGCGACUUAUAUUCUGUAGCAAGGUUAACCGCAUAGGGGAGCCGGAGGGAAACCGAGUCUUAACCGGGCGUUAAGUUGCAGGGUAUAGACCCGAAACCCGGUGAUCUAGCCAUGGGCAGGUUGAAGGUUGGGUAACACUAACUGGAGGACCGAACCGAC
rnacentral:rRNA from 1 species